rnacentral:lncRNA from 1 species
UAUACUCUACCAAUAAAAAAUAAUCUAAAUAAUAAUAUUUUAUUCCAAAGUGCGCGUCAUCCGCACUAAUUUCGUCCACAACUUUAAUCAAACGUGGCGGCCUCUAAUCCUCGUCUUCUGCUUGAAUCAUAGUCAAUAUCAUCUUUCCACGUGGCGGAUUUUCCAUGUGCCAUCUCAUCAAUCAAACAGAAUACGUUUGACAGUGGUCCCUCACCGUUUGUGAGGAUAGCCUUU